rnacentral:rRNA from 1 species
UACGGAGGGUGCAAGCGUUAUCCGGAUUCACUGGGUUUAAAGGGUGCGUAGGUGGGUCUGUAAGUCAGUGGUGAAAUCUCCGAGCUUAACUUGGAAACUGCCAUUGAUACUAUAGAUCUUGAAUAUUGUGGAGGUCAGCGGAAUAUGUCAUGUAGCGGUGAAAUGCUUAGAUAUGACGUAGAACACCAAUUGCGAAGGCAGCUCACUACCCGAAUAUUGACUCUGAGGCACGAAAGCGUGGGGAUCAAACAGG